rnacentral:rRNA from 1 species
GACGAACGCUGGCGGCGUGCUUAACACAUGCAAGUCGAACGGAAAGGGGCUGUUUCUGUGGGGUACUCGAGAGGAGAACGGAAGAGUAACACGUGAGUAAGCUGACCACGACUUUGGGAUAACUUCAGGAAACUGGGGCUAAUACCGGAUAGGAGGUCAUGCUGCAGGGUGGGGGUUGGAAAGUUUCGGCGGAGGGGGAGGGACUCGCGGCUUAUCAGCUUGUGGUUGGGGGAGUGGCUGAGCAAGGCUUUGACGGGUAGGCGGCCGGAGAGGGUGACCGGCCGCAUUGGGACUGAUGUGCGGCCCCGCCUCCUCCGGCGGGCAGCAGUGGGGGAGAUUGCUCAAUGGGCGGAAGCCGGAUGCAGCAGCGCCGCGGGCGGGAUGUCGGCCUCCGACUUGUAGUGCGCUUUCGUCCGUGACGAAGAGUGAGUGACGGUAACGGGUAAAGAAGCACCGGCUAACUCUGUG